rnacentral:rRNA from 1 species
ACUACGGGUGGCUGCAGUGGGGAAUAUUGCACAAUGGGGGAAACCCUGAUGCAGCGACGCAGCGUGAGUGAAGAAGUAAGUCGUUAUGUAAAGCUCUAUCAGCAGGGAAGAAAAUGACGGUACCUGAGUAAGAAGCCCCGGCUAACUACGUGACAGCAGCCGCGGUAAUACGGAGGGGGCAAGCGUUAUCUGGAUUUACUGGGAGUAAAGGGAGCGUAGACGGCAGUGCAAGGCUGGAGUGAGAGGCGGGGGCUCAACCCCCGGACUGCUCUGGAAACUGUACGGAUGGAGUGCAGGAGAGGUAAGUGGAAUUCCUAGUGUAGCGGUGAAAUGCGUAGAUAUUAGGAGGAACACCAGUGGCGAAGGCGGCUUACUGGACUGUAACUGACGUUGAGGCUCGAAAGCGUGGGGAGCAAACAGGAUUAGAUACCCCUGUAGUC